rnacentral:rRNA from 1 species
UAUCCAGACUCCUACGGGAGGCAGCAGUGAGGAAUAUUGGUCAAUGGGCGGAAGCCUGAACCAGCCAAGUCGCGUGAGGGAAGAAGGCCCUGCGGGUCGCAGACCUCUUUGGACGGGGAGCAAGGCCGCCGACGUGUCGGCGGAAGGAGAGUACCCGUAGAACAAGCAUCGGCUAGCUCCGUGCCAGCAGCCGCGGUAAUACGGAGGAUGCGAGCGUUAUCCGGAUUUACUGGGUGUAAAGGGAGCGUAGACGGCACUGCAAGUCCGGAGUGAAAGCCCAAGGCUUAACCAUGGGACUGCUCUGGAAACUGUGGAGCUUGAGUGCGGGAGGGGCAGGCGGAAUUCCUAGUGUAGCGGUGAAAUGCGUAGAUAUUAGGAGGAACACCGGCGGCGAAGGCGGCCUGCUGGACCGUAACUGACGUUGGGGCUCGAGAGCGUGGGGAGCAAACAGGAUUAGAUACCCGGGUAA